rnacentral:rRNA from 1 species
CCUACGGGAGGCAGCAGUGAGGAAUAUUGGUCAAUGGACGAGAGUCUGAACCAGCCAAGUAGCGUGAAGGAUGACUGCCCUAUGGGUUGUAAACUUCUUUUAUAAAGGAAUAAAACGAGGCACGUGUGCCUUAUUGCAUGUACUUUAUGAAUAAGGAUCGGCUAACUCCGUGCCAGCAGCCGCGGUAAUACGGAGGAUCCGAGCGUGAUCCGGAUUUAUUGGGUUUAAAGGGAGCGUAGAUGGGUUGUUAAGUCAGUUGUGAAAGUUUGCGGCUCAACCGUAAAAUUGCAAUUGAUACUGGCAGUCUUGAGUACAGUUGAGGUAAGCGGAAUUCGUGGUGUAGCGGUGAAAUGCUUAGAUAUCACGAAGAACCCCGAUGGCGAAGGCAGCUUACUAAACUGUGACUGACAUUGAUGCUCGAAAGUGUGGGUAUCAAACAGGAUUAGAUACCCUUGUAGUC